CCCGACUGCUAUUUGGGUGAGGAUAAGCCAUGCGAGUUGAAUGGGAAACCUAAAAAUCCCAUGGCAAACUGCUCAGUAACACAUGAUCAACUUACCCUAUAGAGGAAAAUAACCUCGGGAAACUGAGGAUAAUGUUCCAUAGUUGAAUCGGCUUGGAAAAGUUUUUCAAUAAAAGGGAUAAGGAAAAUGGUCCUUAUCUGCUAUAGGAUAGGAUCGUGCUCGAUUAUGGUUGUUGGUGAGGUAAAGGCUCACCAAGCCGAUAAUCGAUAGGGGCCGUGAGAGCGGGAGCCCCGAGAUGGGUACUGAGACAACGACUCAGGCCUUACGAGGCGCAGCAGGCGCGAAACCUCCGCAAUACACGAAAGUGUGACGGGGUUACCCAAAGUGUUCUAUUUAGAACUGUGGUAGGUGAGUAAUGUCCCCUACUAGAAAGGAGAGGGCAAGGCUGGUGCCAGCCGCCGCGGUAAAACCAGCUCUUCAAGUGGUCGGGAUAAUUAUUGGGCUUAAAGUGUCCGUAGCCGGUUUAGUAAGUUCCUGGUAAAAUCGGGUAGCUUAACUAUCUAUAUGCUAGGAAUACUGCUAUACUAGAGGGCGGGAGAGGUCUGAGGUACUACAGGGGUAGGGGUGAAAUCUUAUAAUCCUUGUAGGACCACCAGUGGCGAAGGCGUCAGACUGGAACGCGCCUGACGGUGAGGGACGAAAGCCAGGGGAGCGAACCGGAUUAGAUACCCGGGUAGUCCUGGCCGUAAACGAUGCAUACUAGGUGAUGGCACGGCCAUGAGUCGUGUCAGUGCCGUAGGGAAACCGUUAAGUGUGCCGCCUGGGAAGUACGGUCGCAAGGCUAAAACUUAA
rnacentral:rRNA from 1 species